GGCGCCCGGGUCGUGGGGUUGUUGGCCCGCAGGGCACUGUCCUGCGCCAGGGGCACGCUGCGUUUGCAAGCGGGACUCCCGCCACCUCAACUGCCUGCAGCUCCUGGCAAGGAGCCUGGGCUGGGAAAGAGCUCCACAAUCUCCCCCCGAACGACGGAGUCGCAGCAGGGCAGAGAAUGGGAGCUCUUCUGGCAGAGGAGGAUGGCCCAGGGGCGCAGCGGCCCGCUGGGCGCCCCCAACCCCAGGGGUACUCUGUCCCACCUGCUAGACCAGGAAGGCGCUCACGAUGGCUCCCAUCUGGUUCUUGUUGGAAACCUCGGCAUCUGUGAGGACUCAGCAAGGAGGUGGCCUGCUGCAAAUCAAGAAGCUUGUCCUCACCAGAAACAGAAUCUGCCAGCACCUUGAUCUUGGACUUCCUGGUCUCUGCAAGAAAUAAAUGUUGUUUAAGUCAC